ACAGCCUCUACACUGAAAGCUCUGGUUCCUAUCACUUCUUUUAUAGUGCAAAUCUCAGUUAAUUUCUAUUCUCAUUCUCCUUUGUCUCCUCUCUUCUCUUUCAAUCUCACUCUACACUCUUCUCCUUGGGUUACUAAGGAGAAACAUAUCCCUUUAUUUUUGUACUUGUAGCAGUUUUUGUACUGCUCUUAAUAACCGUUAGCACAGGCUACGUUCUCACUUUACCUGUACACAUGAUUACUGCUGUCGUUUGUUUGUAUGUAUUGCUCCAAAAUGCAUAUGAUGGAACUUAACCCCCUAGGUGGUGGUAUUAAGAGGUGGGGUGCUUCAGAGGUCACUAGGCUAUGAGAAUUCUGCCCUCAUGGAUAAGAUAAAUGCCCUUUUAAAAAAUGCAUCAUAGAGCUGCCUCUCUGCUCCCAUGCCUUUUACCAUAUGAGGAAGCUAGACUGCAUUAUCUCUGAGGAAUGAGCCUUUUCUUUUCUAUUCUCCUUCUACCAUGUGAGGACACAGCUUUACCUCCUUCUCCAGAGGAUGCAACAAUAAGGCACCAUCUUGGAAGCAGAAAGCAGCCCUCACCAGACACCAAAUCUGCCAGCACAUUUGAUCUUGGAUUUCCCAGACUCCAGAACUACAGGGUCUUGCUCCGUUACCCAGACUGAGGUCAAUGGCAUGAUCACAGCUCACUGCAUCCUCGAAAUCCCAGGCUCAACCAAACCUCCCAGCUCAGCCUCCCUCAUAGCUGGUGCUACAGGGAUUUGAGCAUCCAUUGAUUUUCGUAUCUGUGAGGGGUCUUGACACCAAUCCUCUGUGGAUACUAAAAUUUUCUGUGGAGCUGCUUGGGAGCCUGAGACAAUGCAUUUAGCACCAGUCUAAGCAACACAGCAAGACCUCAUCCCAAACAACGUUUUUCUUUCUGUGGAUAUGGAAGAUGAAAUACCAGUUUUGGAUAGAGAAAGCUUGUAUCUGGAAAGAACUCACCUUCAGAAUCUGAGUAUGUUUUAAAAAUCAUAUUUUAAAUGACAAAUAAUAAUUAUGUGUAUUUAUAAGAUACCGUGUGAUUCUUUGAUAAAUGUAUACAAUGUGGAAAUCAGCUUAUGUAAUAAAUGCAUUACCUCACACACUACUUUUUUUUGGGGGGGGGGAAUUUAAAAUCUAUUAUUUUAGCAAUUUUGAGAUACGCAAUGCAUUUUUAUUUGUUAUAGUCACCAUUCUUGCAAUAGAUAACUGAAAUGUAUUCCACCUGUCUGAAACUUUAUGCCCUUUGACCAGCUUCUCUCUUUUCCCCAUUCAUGCCCCUACCCCAGCCUCUGGUAACCAUCAUACUCUCUGAUUCUAUAAGUUCAACUUUUUUGGAUUCCACCUGUAAGUGAAAUCAUGCAGUAUUUUUCUUUUGGUACAUGGUUAUUUCACUUAGCAUAAUAUCCUCCAGGUUCAUCCAUGUUAUUGCAAA